rnacentral:rRNA from 1 species
UACGUAGGGUGCGAGCGUUAAUCGGAAUUACUGGGCGUAAAGCGUGCGCAGGCGGUUUGUUAAGACAGAUGUGAAAUCCCGGCGUAACCUGGGAACUGCAUUUGUGACUGGCAAGCUAGAGUAUGGCAGAGGGGGGUAGAAUUCCACGUGUAGCAGUGAAAUGCGUAGAGAUGUGGAGGAAUACCCGAUGGCGAAGGCAGCCCCCUGGGCCAAUACUGACGCUCAUGCACGAAAGCGUGGGGGAGCAAACAGG